rnacentral:rRNA from 1 species
CCUACGGGUGGCAGCAGUGGGGAAUAUUGGGCAAUGGAGGAAACUCUGACCCAGCAACGCCGCGUGAGUGAUGAAGGUCUUCGGAUUGGAAAGUUCUUUUCUACGGGAAGAAGAAAGUGACGGUACCUUAGGAAUAAGACUCGGCUAACUACGUGCCAGCAGCCGCGGCAAUCCGUAGGCGGCAAGACGUAUCCGGAAUGACUGGGCGGAAAGGGUGCGUAGGUGGUUCGCCAAGUUAGUAGCGAAACUCCGGGGCUCAACCUCGGCACUACUACCAAAACUGGCGGACUUGAGUGCAGGAGAGGUACGUGGAAUGCGUGGUGUAGCGGUGAAAUGCGUAGAUAUUAGGCAGAACACCGAUGGCGAAGGC